rnacentral:lncRNA from 1 species
UUUUUUAUUUUGCUCUUCUUUUCAUCCCCAAAAAACUCCUAGGAUCUGUCCAAUAGGAUUGUCAUCCCUACCGAUCAACCACACCUCCAAUGUCUCGGUCCACUAGGGAACCCAGAUCCUACCGAUCUAAUCAACGUAGAAACAAAAAGAAUCCCCUUUAGAGCUGAGAUUUUUUCUCUAGAUCUGUGGAAGGAUACCUUUCGUUCCUGGCC